CCCUCCCUAGCCCCAGCUCACUCCACCCCCAAGGGCCAGACCUUCACUUUUCUCCCUCCAGCACCACCGCCGCCGCCGCCAAUGCUGCCAUAUAGAUCGCUCGACGAGGCGGCGGCCACCCUGGGCCGGAACCUUACCUUCGCUGAGACACUGUGGUUCAAUUAUUCUGCCAAUAAGUCCGAUUACUACCUCUACUGCCAUAACAUUCUCUUCCUCUUUUUAAUCUUCUCUAUUGUGCCUCUGCCUCUCGUUUUCGUCGAGCUUAUGCGAUCUACUGGGUUCGACAAGUAUAAGAUUCAGCCCAAGGUUAAGCUCUCCUUCCCCGAGAUGUUCAAAUGCUACAAAGAUGUCAUGCGCAUGUUCUUUCUUGUUGUGGGUCCCUUGCAAUUGGUCUCCUAUCCUUCUAUCAAGAUGAUCAGGAUUAGGACAAGUUUGCCAUUGCCGUCUGUAUGGGAAAUUUUUCUACAUUUGUUGGUGUAUUUCGUGGUGGAGGACUAUACCAAUUAUUGGAUCCACAGGCUUCUCCAUUGUAAAUGGGGCUAUGAGAAAAUUCACCGUGUUCAUCAUGAAUAUGCUGCUCCCAUUGGUUUUGCUGCUCCAUAUGCACACUGGGCUGAAAUUUUGAUCCUGGGAAUUCCAUCUUUCCUGGGACCAGCAAUGGUUCCCGGGCACAUGAUCACAUUUUGGUUGUGGAUUGUUUUGCGGCAGAUUGAGGCAAUUGAGACACACAGCGGGUAUGACUUCCCUUGGAGUCCUGCAAAAUAUAUUCCAUUUUAUGGCGGCGCAGAGUAUCAUGCUUAUCCCCAUUUUUUUGGUGAACAAAGCCAACCAAAGCAACUUUGCUUCGGUUUUCACCUAUUGUGACUUUAUUUAUGGAACUGACAAGGGCUAUCGAUAUCAAAAGAAGCUACUUCAGAAGUUGAAAGAGGGAUUGAAAAGUGGUGGUGAAGAUAAUGGAGGCUCAUACCAUGUUCCCACCCAGGAUCUUAAAUCUGACUAGCCAAGGAACUGCAGAACUUUUCUUCAGAUCAAUGUGCUUAGGGUACACCUCUUGGGAACCUUUUAUUUCAAGUUGACAUCAGUAUGCUAGUCCUGGUUAAUUUAGAACCUUUAGUAUUGCUGAUGGAGAUUAACUGCGAUUUCUGUACCAUGAGGUGGGUUUAGCUAAGUUUCAGAAUUUGGGGUUUUUGUUAAUGAAGUUCAGUGGAUUGGGAUAUCAUGGCGUUUGAAUUUAAGAUUUUAAGUGUUGUUGUUUAGCUUUUUGUUUGAAAUCCAAAUAUGGAAAAUGCUAUGAUAUCCCAAUCCACUG
rnacentral:misc_RNA from 1 species